rnacentral:rRNA from 1 species
GAUGAACGCUGCCUGCGUGCCUAAUACAUGCAAGUCGAGCGAACGGACGAGAAGCUUGCUUCUCUGAUGUUAGCGGCGGACGGGUGAGUAACACGUGGAUAACCUACCUAUAAGACUGGGAUAACUUCGGGAAACCGGAGCUAAUACCGGAUAAUAUUUUGAACCGCAUGGUUCAAAAGUGAAAGACGGUCUUGCUGUCACUUAUAGAUGGAUCCGCGCUGCAUUAGCUAGUUGGUAAGGUAACGGCUUACCAAGGCAACGAUGCAUAGCCGACCUGAGAGGGUGAUCGGCCACACUGGAACUGAGACACGGUCCAGACUCCUACGGGAGGCAGCAGUAGGGAAUCUUCCGCAAUGGGCGGAAGCCUGACGGAGCAACGCCGCGUGAGUGAUGAAGGUCUUCGGAUCGUAAAACUCUGUUAUUAGGGAAGAACAUAUGUGUAAGUAACUGUGCACAUCUUGACGGUACCUAAUCAGAAAGCCACGGCUAACUACGUGCCAGCAGCCGCGGUAAUACGUAGGUGGCAAGCGUUAUCCGGAAUUAUUGGGCGUAAAGCGCGCGUAGGCGGUUUUUUAAGUCUGAUGUGAAAGCCCACGGCUCAACCGUGGAGGGUCAUUGGAAACUGGAAAACUUGAGUGCAGAAGAGGAAAGUGGAAUUCCAUGUGUAGCGGUGAAAUGCGCAGAGAUAUGGAGGAACACCAGUGGCGAAGGCGACUUUCUGGUCUGUAACUGACGCUGAUGUGCGAAAGCGUGGGGAUCAAACAGGAUUAGAUACCCUGGUAGUCCACGCCGUAAACGAUGAGUGCUAAGUGUUAGGGGGUUUCCGCCCCUUAGUGCUGCAGCUAACGCAUUAAGCACUCCGCCUGGGGAGUACGACCGCAAGGUUGAAACUCAAAGGAAUUGACGGGGACCCGCACAAGCGGUGGAGCAUGUGGUUUAAUUCGAAGCAACGCGAAGAACCUUACCAAAUCUUGACAUCCUUUGACAACUCUAGAGAUAGAGCCUUCCCCUUCGGGGGGGCAAAGUGACAGGUGGUGCAUGGUUGUCGUCAGCUCGUGUCGUGAGAUGUUGGGUUAAGUCCCGCAACGAGCGCAACCCUUAAGCUUAGUUGCCAUCAUUAAGUUGGGCACUCUAAGUUGACUGCCGGUGACAAACCGGAGGAAGGUGGGGAUGACGUCAAAUCAUCAUGCCCCUUAUGAUUUGGGCUACACACGUGCUACAAUGGACAAUACAAAGGGCAGCGAAACCGCGAGGUCAAGCAAAUCCCAUAAAGUUGUUCUCAGUUCGGAUUGUAGUCUGCAACUCGACUACAUGAAGCUGGAAUCGCUAGUAAUCGUAGAUCAGCAUGCUACGGUGAAUACGUUCCCGGGUCU